AAGCUUUACAAAUUGAGGCAAUACAACUCUUCUGAGUUCUUCUUAAAAACAAGCAAACAAGUCACUGUUGUCACAGUGGUAAUGACAGGGCUAUGUCAUUAUCUAUCCACCAACAGUAAGAGAAGCUUUGCAGUCAAGAUAUUGUUUAGCUGAUGGAGUGUUUUCUGCUGGACACUAAGUACUGCUACAAGU